rnacentral:rRNA from 1 species
UACGUAGGGGGCAAGCGUUGUUCGGAAUUACUGGGCGUAAAGGGCUCGUAGGCGGCCAACUAAGUCAGACGUGAAAUCCCCAGGCUCAACCUGGGAACUGCGUCUGAUACUGGAUGGCUUGAAUUCGGGAGAGGGAUGCAGAAUUCCAGGUGUAGCGGUGAAAUGCGUAGAUAUCUGGAGGAAUACCGGUGGCGAAGGCGGCAUCCUGGACCGACAUUGACGCUGAUGAGCGAAAGCUAGGGGAGCAAACGGG